AUGGCCACCGCCGCCGCCGCCACCUUCCUCUCCGCGCCUCGCAGCGACCGCCAUGGCGCGCGGCGCGUCGCCGUCGCCUGCUCGGUGCCGCUGAAGCGGGUGGCGCCCGAGUCGCUGCAGGCCGCAAGCGGGUCCCUCGUGGGCGUGCCGAGCCGCGGGACUGGGGACCUGGGCGGGCCCGGCGCCAUGGAGUACCUGACGGCCGUGCUGGCCUCCAAGGUGUACGACGUGGCCGUCGAGACGCCGCUGGAGCGCGCCGGCAAGCUCUCGGAGCGCCUCGGGGUCGACCUCCGCAUCAAGCGCGAGGACCUGCAGCCGGUAUUUUCAUUCAAGUUGAGAGGUGCAUAUAAUAUGAUGUCAAAGCUCUCCCAAGAGCAGUUAAACAAUGGCGUUAUCUGCUCCUCUGCUGGAAACCAUGCUCAAGGAGUUGCUCUUUCUGCUCGAAAACUGGGCUGUGAUGCCAUUAUUGUCAUGCCUGUGACAACACCAGAAAUCAAGUGGCGAUCAGUGGAGAGAUUGGGUGCGACAGUCAUUCUCAAAGGAGACUCGUACGAUGAAGCUCAAUCAUAUGCAAAACUACGCUGUCAAGAGGAAGGCCGCACAUUCAUACCUCCUUUUGACCAUCCCGAUAUUAUUGCUGGACAAGGAACUGUUGGCAUGGAAAUUGUUCACCAAUUGCAAGGUCCAUUACAUGCAAUAUUUGUACCUGUGGGAGGUGGUGGGUUAAUUGCUGGAAUUGCUGCCUAUGUAAAACGGGUCCGCCCUGAGGUCAAAAUAAUUGGAGUGGAGCCCUCAGAUGCAAAUGCCAUGGCAUUGUCCUUGUGUCAUGGCCAGAGGGUCAUGUUAAAACAUGCUGGAGGGUUUGCUAAUGGUGUAGCUGUCAAAGUUGUAGGCAAGGAGACAUUUCGCCUGUGUCAAAAUUUCGUAGAUGGCAUUGUCCUGGUCAGCCAAGAUGCUAUUUGUGCUUCAAUAAAGGAUAUGUUUGAGGAGAACAGGAAUAUCCCUGAACCUUCUGGGGCCCUUGCCUUGGCUGGGGCUGAAGCUUACUGCAAAUACUAUGGUUUGAAAGGGGAAACUGUGGUUGCAAUAAGUAGCGGUGCAAAUAUGAACUUUGAUACACUUAGAUUAGUAGCUGAGCUUCCUGAUGUUGGUCGAAAACCAGAAGCGGUAUUAGCUACAUUUUUGCCGGAGGAGCAGGGAAGCUUCAAAAAGUUUGCAGAACUGUUUGGCCGGAUGAAUAUUACCGGAUUCAAACACAUAUGUGAUUCUCAUGGAAAAGAAGCCCUUGUUCUACACAGCGGAAGUGAUAACGUCGGAGAUGAACGGGCAAAGGCUAAACUUGUAGCAGCUGGAGCCGAUGGCCUGGAAUGUGAGGAUAGCUAUAGACCCUACAGAGAGGGGGGAAAGCUGCUGGCGUGGCUGGGCAUCUGCAUGGGCACCACCACCGGGAUCUUCAACCUCAUGACGGCGGGGCUCGGCCUGUACGUGAAAGCGCAGCACCCAAGUGCGCACCCGCUGGUGGUCGCAUGCUGGGAGGCCUUGCCGCUCACCAUGGUUCGUGUCGUCCUCGUGUCCAGCCUCGGCGCCACGCUCGCUCUCGUCAUCCUGCUCAUGUAUGCAAGCAUGAAGAUGACCUUGCAGGGGGGUUCCCCGUCUGGCUCGGCCUAG
rnacentral:rRNA from 1 species